rnacentral:rRNA from 1 species
UUCCGGCGCCUGCCGAAGCCUUAGCCGCCUGAACGGCGGGGCCCGCGACUCGAAACAGAGGGCCCUCAAGAGCUAGCCCACCCGGGCGACAUCACUAAAUUGCGGGGACGCUCGCCAAACUCUCGCACCCUCCGGUCCAGCGAUGGCACCGGGGCGCCCGCCUCCGCGGGUGCGACGGUAGCAGCGCCAGUUUGAGCCACCCGCAGCCAACCCCUCCGCGCGAGGGGGAUGUUCACAGACUAGAUGGUGAUGGGCGCGACAGCGUCUAAGAUAUAGUCGGCCGUCGGCCUGCGCCGGCGACUCUGAAGCGUUCCGUAGGUGAACCUGCGGAAGGAUCAUUA